rnacentral:misc_RNA from 1 species
GGAGUAAAAGUCGUAACAAGGUCUCCGUUGGUGAACCAGCGGAGGGAUCAUUACAGGACUCGCAAGACUCCUACAACCCUGUGAACUUAACUAUAAGCACGUUGCUUCGGCGGGUGUCUCGGAGGGGGUUCUCCCUCCCCGAGACGCUAAACCCGCCGGCAGCCUACUAUACUCUGUCUCUUUGCGUUGGCAUCUCGAGUACAAUCAAACAAGUUAAAACUUUCAACAACGGAUCUCUUGGUUCUG